ACGGGUGCGUAACGCGUAUGCAACCUACCUCAAUCAGGGGGAUAGCCCGAAGAAAUUCGGAUUAACACCGCAUAAAAACACAGGAUAGCAUUAUCUAAUGUUCAAAUAUUUAUAGGAUUGAGAUGGGCAUGCGUGUCAUUAGCUAGUUGGCGGGGUAACGGCCCACCAAGGCGACGAUGACUAGGGGAUCUGAGAGGAUGACCCCCCACACUGGUACUGAGACACGGACCAGACUCCUACGGGAGGCAGCAGUAAGGAAUAUUGGUCAAUGGAGGCAACUCUGAACCAGCCAUGCCGCGUGCAGGAAGACAGCCCUCUGGGUCGUAAACUGCUUUUAUUCGGGAAUAAACCUUAUUACGUGUAAUAAGCUGAAUGUACCGAAGGAAUAAGGAUCGGCUAACUCCGUGCCAGCAGCCGCGGUAAUACGGAGGAUCCAAGCGUUAUCCGGAUUUAUUGGGUUUAAAGGGUGCGUAGGCGGCUUAUUAAGUCAGGGGUGAAAGACGGUGGCUCAACCAUCGCAGUGCCUUUGAUACUGAUGAGCUUGAAUGAACUAGAGGUAGGCGGAAUGUGACAAGUAGCGGUGAA
rnacentral:rRNA from 1 species